UCCCUGGUGGCUCAGAAGGUAAAGCGUCUGCCUGCAAUGCGGGAGACCUGGGUUGGAUUCCUGGGUCGGGAA
rnacentral:tRNA from 1 species